rnacentral:rRNA from 1 species
CACUCUUAGCGGUGGAUCUGCUGUGCGGUCGAUGAAGAACCUAGCUGCGAGAAUUAAUGUGAAUUGCGGACACAUUGAUCAUAUUUCGAACGCACUUGCGGCCCCGGGUUCUCCCGGGCUACGCCUGUUCUCGCUUGA